GAUGAACGCUAGCUACAGGCUUAACACAUGCAAGUCGAGGGGCAGCACAGUGUAGCAAUACACGGGUGGCGACCGGCGCACGGGUGCGUAACGCGUAUCCAACCUUCCCGUUACUCUUGGAUAGCCUUCCGAAAGGGAGAUUAAUACAAGAUGGUAUUCAAAUUCCGCAUGUUAUUUGAAUUAAAGAUUUAUCGGUAACGGAUGGGGAUGCGUGACAUUAGGUAGAUGGUGGGGUAACGGCCCACCAUGCCUACGAUGUCUAGGGGUUCUGAGAGGAAGGUCCCCCACACUGGAACUGAGACACGGUCCAGACUCCUACGGGAGGCAGCAGUGAGGAAUAUUGGUCAAUGGACGAGAGUCUGAACCAGCCAAGUAGCGUGAAGGAUGAAGGUUCUAUGGAUUGUAAACUUCUUUUAUACGGGAAUAAAACCUCCCACGUGUGGGAGCUUGUAUGUACCGUAUGAAUAAGCAUCGGCUAAACUCCGUG
rnacentral:rRNA from 1 species